rnacentral:lncRNA from 1 species
AUGGAUUGCACUGUAGCUUGUAGAGAGGCAAUCUGCUGUACGUGGGAGAGGCAUGACAGAGGAAAAGCACAGCACCAGCUGCAUAUAAGAAACUCCUGGAAAGAAGAACAAAGCCAACUGUUCUCCAUGUCCACGAAGGCAUGCACAAGAACUAAUGGGUGUAUCCUGCAUCAAGAAAUAUUCAGGUUAGGAACAGCUUCUGAUGGAGAGGAGAACAAAGCAGGCAAACAGACUGCCAGGGGCCUGAGGAUUCUGCAUCACAGGGGAUCUUCAAGGAAAGAUAAACAGAAGAAAAGGCACCUGUAGGUUCCCCUAUCAUAGAACUGGAAGAUGGGCCAUCAACCUCUUGAGAUUCAUGCCAGCCUUACUCAUUUUCUAAACCCAGCUUUGUUCAUACCCUGAAACUCAUCUGUCUUCUUCAAAGCCCCACCAUAGUCUCCUUUAGCAUUUAUGUGCUAUCAACAUAUCACUUGCCAGGGUGAUUCUAGAAAAGUGACUGCGCUUGAGUCUUGGAUGGAUGCUUGCUUCCUACUGUGGUUCACCUAACCUCCAGGAGACUCAAUGCCUGCUUUGUGUUGUAAAUGGUGUCCCAUCUUGAGAUGCAUUGCCUGUGUUCCUGCCUUGGAUAGCAGUGUUGAUCUGUGGAAAUAUUCUUCCAUCUUUCUUGGAACCUCAUUCUUAUGCGUCUGCAGGCUUGUUCACAGGAGACUAGCUGAGGAGCAUGCUCACUGCUGUUUUCCCAGGUAAAUUCAGCCUUGCUUGUCUUCCUCACUAGUGGUGUUCCUUCAGCUCUCUUCUCAGGGAACAGGGUUCUCUUUGUACUGAUGCUGUGGGUUGGAGGAAUGCACAGAGUCUGUCCUCUUCCUUCUCUCUGGAAGGACAAACAGAGCUGCCUGACUUCUUGUCCAGGAGCCUUAGCACUCACCUACUUAUACUGGGAUGAUGACUUGGUGCUCCUUCCUGUGUUCUAAAACAUGCUGCUGCCUGGGUUGGUCCAAGGUAGAAGUAUGUUUCAUAGGGUGAGCAGGAGCCUGAGUGCAGUGGGCUUGAUACCUGGUUCCAGGGCCUUAACUGAACUAGGCAAGGAUCAGGCGAUUGUGUUGCUCAACAAAACUGCACAGCUGACAGUCUGAGCUGCUCUUUAGCAAUACAUCUAGCAGUCUGCAGCACUUUAGCUGGAGCUGGUAGGUGUCUUGUUCCUUGCAUUGCUCUCACGAACUUGCACGUGGAAAGAAAGCUGGAUCUUCCCCUUUUUACUGCCUCCUUAUCUGGCCAAAGGUUACCCAGUAGUCAGAACACAUGCCUUAACAUAUGCUGAAGAGAGCAAGCAGAGCCUGGAGGAUGUUGAUGGAUGACAAAAGCUCUGAUACAUACAUCUGUAUGACAUGUGGUGCUGUGCCUCAGGCUUUGGCCUGAGCAUUGCCGUUCCACCCUUGGUAAUAAACAUAUGAGUAGAUAAGGCA